GAUGAAGAACGCAGUGAAAUGCGAUAAGUAAUGUGAAUUGCAGAAUUCAGUGAAUCAUCGAAUCUUUGAACGCACAUUGCGCCCGCCAGUAUUCUGGCGGGCAUGCCUGUUCGAGCGUCAUUUCAUCCAUCAAGCCCCCGGCUUGUGUUGGGGACCUGCGGCUGCCGCAGGCCCUGAAAACCAGUGGCGGGCUCGCUGUCACACCGAGCGUAGUAGAUUUUCAUCUCGCUCAGGGCGUGCUGCGGGUUCCGGCCGUAAAAAGCCUUAUUUACCCAAGGUUGACCUCGGAUCAGGUAGGAAGACCCGCUGAACUUAAGCAUAUCAAUAAGCGGAGGA
rnacentral:misc_RNA from 1 species